GCGCGGUUAGCUCAUUUAGCAGAGCGCAUCGUUGACGUCGAUGAGGUAAUAGGUGCAAUUCCUAUACCGCGCACCA
rnacentral:tRNA from 1 species